AUCCCUGUUCUUGGCUACCAGGGAGAUUGAGGUUGGUAGAUCUGAGCUCAGGAAUUCUGAAUUGUAGUGGGCAUGGCUAAUUGGAUGCUGAUCAGACUAAGCCUCAUUAAAUAUGGAAUCAAUAUAGUGAGCUGUCAUUCCUGAGGGCUCACUAGGCUGCCUAAGCAGGGGCGAAUUGACCCAGGCUGGAAGUGGAAUAGGUCAAAGUUCCCCUGCUUAUUGAUUAGUAAUGAGAUCAGGUCCAUGACUUCCAGCCUGGUUUAUAUGAAGAGACCCAGUCUUA
rnacentral:sRNA from 1 species